AGCGAACGCUGGCGGCAGGCCUAACACAUGCAAGUCGAACGGACCUUUCGGGGUUAGUGGCGGACGGGUGAGUAACACGUGGGAACGUGCCUUUAGGUUCGGAAUAUCUCCUGGAAACGGGUGGUAAUGCCGAAUGUGCCCUUCGGGGGAACGAUUUAUCGCCUUUAGAGCGGCCCGCGUCUGAUUAGCUAGUUGGUUGAGGUAACGGCUCACCAAGGCGACGAUCAGUAGCUGGUCUGAGAGGAUGGCCAGCCACAUUGGGACUGAGACACGGCCCAAACUCCUACGGGAGGCAGCAGUGGGGAAUCUUGCGCAAUGGGCGAAAGCCUGACGCAGCCAUGCCGCGUGAAUGAUGAAGGUCUUAGGAUUGUAAAAUUAUUUCACCGGGGACGAUAAUGACGGUACCCGGAGAAGAAGCCCCGGCUAACUUCGUG
rnacentral:rRNA from 1 species